rnacentral:rRNA from 1 species
UACAGAGGGUGCGAGCGUUGUCCGGAAUCACUGGGCGUAAAGGGCGCGUAGGCGGCUUUUCAAGCGUGCGGUGAAAGCUCGGGGCUUAACUCCGAGUCUGCCGUGCGAACUGGGAAGCUUGAGUCUGGUAGAGGUCGAUGGAAUUUCGGGUGUAGCGGUGGAAUGCGUAGAGAUCCGGAAGAACACCGGUGGCGAAGGCGGUCGACUGGGCCAGUACUGACGCUGAGGCGCGACAGCGUGGGGAGCAAACAGG